rnacentral:rRNA from 1 species
CACGAACCGGGCAAACGUUAUUCGGAAUUACUGGGCGUAAAGGGCUCGUAGGUGGCCAACUAAGUCAGACGUGAAAUCCCUCAGCUUAACUGGGGGAACUGCGUCUGAUACUGGAUGGCUUGAGUUUGGGAGAGGGAUGCGGAAUUCCAGGUGUAGCGGUGAAAUGCGUAGAUAUCUGGAGGAACACCGGUGGCGAAGGCGGCAUCCUGGACCAACACUGACACUGAGGAGCGAAAGGCAUGGGGGAGCGAACAGG